GAUGAAGAACGCAGCGAAAUGCGAUAAGUAAUGUGAAUUGCAGAAUUCAGUGAAUCAUCGAAUCUUUGAACGCACAUUGCGCCCCUUGGUAUUCCGCAGGGCAUGCCUGUUCGAGCGUCAUUUCAACCCUCAAGCCCCGCUUGGUGUUGGGCCCCGCCCGCUGUGGCCAGCCCUAAAGACAGUGGCGGCGCCGCCUGGCCCUCAGCGUAGUACAUCUCUCGCUCCAGGGUCCGGUGGCCGCCUGCCAGAACCCCCCAACUCUGUGGUUGACCUCGGAUCAGGUAGGGAUACCCGCUGAACUUAAGCAUAUCAAUAAGCGGAGGA
rnacentral:misc_RNA from 1 species